GGGAGCCGGAUGCGGUGAAAGCCGCCCGUCCGGUUCUGAAGGAGAGGUCGGACCCGGCGACGGGCUGAUCGACUCUAAC
rnacentral:ncRNA from 1 species